rnacentral:lncRNA from 1 species
UGAAUUCAUUAUUGUUCACUUAAAAAUCAAAAUCUGUUACAUCGAGCUAAUUAUAGAGGAAGUAGUCUGCAUCAUAAAUACAAGCACAUACACUAGCUUUACCUAAGGCAGUUACAAACAGUUACAAUGGCCAGAAAUAACAGAAAAUGAAAACUAACACUAUAACUUGUUGAACAAGAUACAAAAUAAGCUUCUUCCAUGCUUUCAGCUAAGUAUCUUAACAAUUUCCACAAUGAUUCAGCACCUUAACACAGCGAAAAUGCACUCCUGCUUGUACUAUCUUAACAAUUCCUUCAAUUGGAAGAAUGCCAUCCUUGUAUAUUAUUAUCCACAGCCAAUAAUUAUUGAAAUAGAGUACAUCAAAUAACAUAUUGCUGGCAGCAUGAAAAAAAGUUCAAAUAUAGAUUUAUUGUUCAUUAGAUUAUCAAGUUUUUCAAAUAGAAGUUAUUUCAACAUAAAACUAGAGAUCAUUCAAUAAGGAUAAAAUGUCAAUCAUUUCAUUGAUACAUAAACCAAAUUAGUUUGCAAAUAGGAAUAGAGUAAACAAGGUAAUAUCCCAAUAAUUACUGAAAUAGAGUAAACUAUAGAUCAAUUACUUAUUCCUUCAAUUGGAAGAAUGCUUUCCUUGUAUGUUAUUAUCCGACUAGAACUAGAAUAAAUCCGUGCUUCAUUGUAACCUAGCUCUGCAAUCAUUUGGGUACUUAAAUCAAGCCAGACUAGUUUUCUAUCUUUUCUUGUGAAGACUAUUUCUCCUUUCAUCCCCACUCCGAUAGGACGCUCCACACAAGACAAUGGUCCAACAAUUAAGAGUUUAGUCCACGAUUCCUCCAAACCGAAUUCACCCAAAAUUGAUAUGUGAAAAGUAGUUGUCUUUUUAUGAUAUGAGAUCAAUGUAAUGGAUCCAUUUAACACCGCCAAUUUUAACCAUGUUAAUUUAUCAACAAAACAAUCAUCUAGGUCUGAGGGUAUCGAUGUUUCAAAGUACUCCUCAUCGCUAAAGUAAAACGAUACCAAACAGGGUACAACGUUAAUAUAAUUUGCUUCACACAACCAAUGACAUACUCCAUCCAUGUAGACUUGGGUGUCGUUACUAUAAAACAAUGAAAACGGCAUGUCAACAUGAAGUUUCCUCCAGGAGUUACUUCUUAGACUAUAUAUCUCCCAAAAGGGGUCAAAACCAAUGAAAUUCAAGGGGUCAAAACCUGCGUAACUCAACCAGUCCAAAGUUAUAAUUUCUUCUUCGAAGUCGUCAUCGGAUUGGGCUAUUGAUUCUAAAUAAACAUUUACAAACCGAAUGACCUUAUAGUCAUUUGUAACAGGGUCAUAACCAAAUCCGUGAGCAUAAGUAUCAACAGAACAAUGAACAAUACCCAAAGCCUCAUCUGGGAUAGACAAAUCAAUACCCAGCAGUGCCUCACUGUCAGGAAGGGGCUUUAUUGUUUGGGUGACUGGGUUCCACAAUACAAUGUCGUCAUUACCCCCAUAGAGACAAAGUAUGCCAUUAACACUCCCAGAACCAAGAAUACGAGUAGUAUGAAAACGGUUUUGAGAUGAACUUGACCAAUCUAAUUUAACCUUAUUCUCAAACCUCUCACCAGAAAAAGAAAUAAAAGCUUCUUCAUUAUAGUUUAAAAAAUCACUAAAGAUGAAAGAUGAUGGGUCAUUAUUAUUAGAUAAGAAAUUGUUACGGAACAUGUUCAUGAAGAAAUGAUUUUCAAAUAAGAGAGACCAUGAUUUUUGAACACAUUCAAAUCGUUUCAAUGACUUAAGAGACAACUUUGAUAGAAUUGAGUAAGUUAUUUCAUCAGGUAUGUAAUUUCUCACCUUUUCGUUUAGAUCAGCCAUUGAUUUCUUCUCCAUCGCUUCCAAAUUGCACUGCUAAACCCUAAGUAAACCCUAAUUUUGAAUGUGCUAAGGUAUUGGUGGCAAGAGUAGUGAAACAAGAGCGAAGAGACUGAAAGUGAGCGAAAGGAGUGUUGGAGGAGUUCAGUGGGAUCGGAGAGUUCCGAUCGGAGACAGCAGAGGGAAGAUUGGAGGGAUGGGAGAGCACAGAUUGGAGAUUGAAGAAGGUUGUUGAAGAUGAAGGGUAAUUUUGUCCAUAUAGAUUGGAGUAAUAUUUAAUGAGUCAUCAAACUUGAAUUGAA